GACGAACGCUGGCGGCGUGCCUAACACAUGCAAGUCGAACGGUAAGGCCCUGCUUUUGUGGGGUGUUCUAGUGGCGAACGGGUGAGUAACACGUGUGUAACCUGCCCCCGACUUUGGGAUAACUUCAGGAAACAGGGGCCCAUACCGGAUAGGAGCUCCUGCUGCCUGGUGGGGGUUGGAAUGUUUCGGCGGUUGGGGAUGGACUCGCGGCUUAUCAGCUCGUUGGUGGGGUAGUGGAAUACCAAGGCUUUGCCGGGUAGCCGGCCUGAGAGGGUGACCGGCCACAUUAGGCCUGAGGUGCGGCACAGACUAGAACGUGAGGCAAGGGUGGGGAGUAUUACACAAUGAGCGGGAGCGUAAUACAACAGCGCCGCGGGCGGGAAGUCGGGCUUGGGGUUGGGAACCGCUUUCGCCUAAGACGGAGCGUGAGUGACGGUAAUGGGUGAAGAAGCACCGGCUAACUACGUG
rnacentral:rRNA from 1 species